rnacentral:rRNA from 1 species
AACGAACGCUGGCGGCAGGCCUAACACAUGCAAGUCGAGCGAGGGGAGUUUCUUCGGAAACAAACCUAGCGGCGGACGGGUGAGUAACACGUGGGCAACCUGCCUUAUAGUGGGGAAUAGCCUCCCGAAAGGGAGAUUAAUACCGCAUAAUAUUACACUUUCGCAUGAAGGAGUAAUUAAAGGAGCAAUUCGCUAUAAGAUGGGCCCGCGGCGCAUUAGCUAGUUGGUGAGGUAAUGGCUCACCAAGGCGACGAUGCGUAGCCGACCUGAGAGGGUGAUCGGCCACAUUGGGACUGAGACACGGCCCAGACUCCUACGGGAGGCAGCAGUGGGGAAUAUUGCACAAUGGGGGAAACCCUGAUGCAGCAACGCCGCGUGAGUGAUGAAGGUCUUCGGAUCGUAAAGCUCUGUCUUCAGGGACGAUAAUGACGGUACCUGAGGAGGAAGCCACGGCUAACUACGUGCCAGCCGCCGCAGUAAUAC